rnacentral:rRNA from 1 species
GACGAACGCUGGCGGCGUGCUUAACACAUGCAAGUCGAACGGUGAUGCUCCAGCUUGCUGGAGUGGAUCAGUGGCGAACGGGUGAGUAACACGUGAGCAACCUGCCCCAGACUCUGGAAUAGGCGCUGGAAACGGCGUCUAAUACUGGAUACGAAACUGGCCCGCAUGGGCAUGGUUUGGAAAGUUUUUCGGUUUGGGAUGGGCUCGCGGCCUAUCAGCUUGUUGGUGAGGUAAUGGCUCACCAAGGCGACGACGGGUAGCCGGCCUGAGAGGGCGACCGGCCACACUGGGACUGAGACACGGCCCAGACUCCUACGGGAGGCAGCAGUGGGGAAUAUUGCACAAUGGGCGAAAGCCUGAUGCAGCGACGCCGCGUGAGGGAUGACGGCCUUCGGGUUGUAAACCUCUUUCAGCAGGGAAGAAGCGAAAGUGACGGUACCUGCAGAAGAAGCACCGGCUAACUACGUG